GGAUCAAGGAAGAGAAUUUGUCAAUGAACUCAACCACAGGCUUUGUGAGAUGUUGUGCAUUGAACGGAGUGUGACCGCAGCAUAUCAUCCUCAAACAAAUGGCCUGGAUGAAAAAACCAAUGACAACAUAAAGCGAGCCCUUAAGAAACUUGUGAAUGACCAGCAGAAUGACUGGGAUGUGUACCUGGAUGCCACUUUGUUUUCACUGAGAUCAAAGGUCCA